rnacentral:rRNA from 1 species
AGUGAACGCUGGCGGUAGGCCUAACACAUGCCAGUCGAACGGCAGCACAGUAAGAGCUUGCUCUUACGGGUGGCGAGUGGCGGACGGGUGAGGAAUACAUCGGAAUCUACUUUUUCGUGGGGGAUAACGUAGGGAAACUUACGCUAAUACCGCAUACGACCUACGGGUGAAAGCAGGGGAUCUUCGGACCUUGCGCGAUUGAAUGAGCCGAUGACGGAUUAGCUAGUUGGCGGGGUAAAGGCCCACCAAGGCGACGAUCCGUAGCUGGUCUGAGAGGAUGAUCAGCCACACUGGAACUGAGACACGGUCCAGACUCCUACGGGAGGCAGCAGUGGGGAAUAUUGGACAAUGGGCGCAAGCCUGAUCCAGCCAUACCGCGUGGGUGAAGAAGGCCUUCGGGUUGUAAAGCCCUUUUGUUGGGAAAGAAAAGCAGCAGGUUAAUACCCCGCUGUUCUGACGGUACCCAAAGAAUAAGCACCGGCUAACUUCGUG